rnacentral:lncRNA from 10 species
ACAGAUAUGGAAACUGAGCCCUCACACAUGGACUGAAUUCUGACAAGCAGAGGAUAAAGGCAGAACAACAUGACUGAAGGCGAUGAGGAACAGCUGAUCACCUGUGGAAGUCAUUUGUCCUAAAUUGUCAUGGACAGACCAUGUGCCUUACAGCAAGAAAAUUCUGUGAAUAAACAGGAAGCCAGCCAGCCAGGGAAGAUGCUUUUGUGAUAUAUCCCAGCAUGCUGAUGACCCCAAGGAGGACCACUGGAUACCUAGCAAGGUCUGGAACAUAGCUCUUAUUCUGGGAUUUCAUCUGUGAUCAUCCUGGGAAUUUUCUGUAUGAUCUUGGGUCCUGUUCCCAUUUCUUCCUUUUUCUUACUUCAUUCCCUGAUUUUGAUGGAACAUUUUCUAAAAUGGCUUCAUCAGAAAGGGUAAUAAGGAGCUGGCUGCAGCAUACCAUGAAUCCUCACAGCAACUUAAUGAGGAAAAAGAAGAACUGAUUGAAGAGUGGCAACCAGAACCUCUUGUUCCUCCUGUCCCAAAAGACCAUCCUGCUCUCAACUACAACAUCGUUUCAGGGUAGAUAAAAAUUUGUAAAUACAAAGAAAUGCUUAUUUUCCAUUAACAAUCCUUAACCAUGGGACUAAUAUUUGUCAAGGCAGACUCUUACUUAGAACUUGGAAAAUAUUGUUUGCCAUUUCUUCCUAAAAAUCUUCUACAAAAG